rnacentral:rRNA from 1 species
AGAGUUUGAUCCUGGCUCAGAGUGAACGCUGGCGGCGUGCUUAACACAUGCAAGUCGAACGAGAACGGGUAUUAGCUUGCUAAUACUGUCAGCUAAGUGGCGCACGGGUGAGUAAUAUAUAGUUAACCUGCCCUAGAGAAGGGGAUAACGUUUGGAAACGGACGCUAACACCCUAUAUGCCUUUAAUACAUAAGUAUGCAAGGGAAACAUUUAUGGCUCUAGGAUGGGACUGUACGGUAUCAGUUAGUUGGUGAGGUAAUGGCUCACCAAGACAAUGACACCUAACUGGUUUGAGAGGAUGAUCAGUCACACUGGAACUGAGACACGGUCCAGACUCCUACGGGAGGCAGCAGUGGGGAAUAUUGCACAAUGGACGAAAGUCUGAUGCAGCAACGCCGCGUGGAGGAUGACACAUUUCGGUGCGUAAACUCCUUUUAUAUAGGAAGAUAAUGACGGUACUAUAUGAAUAAGCACCGGCUAACUCCGUGCCAGCAGCCGCGGUAAUACGGAGGGUGCAAGCGUUACUCGGAAUCACUGGGCGUAAAGAGCGUGUAGGCGGAUUAAUAAGUUGGAAGUGAAAUCCUAUGGCUCAACCAUAGAACUGCUUUCAAAACUGUUUAUCUAGAAUAUGGGAGAGGUAGAUGGAAUUUCUGGUGUAGGGGUAAAAUCCGUAGAGAUCAGAAGGAAUACCGAUUGCGAAGGCGAUCUACUGGAACAUUAUUGACGCUGAGACGCGAAAGCGUGGGGAGCAAACAGGAUUAGAUACCCUGGUAGUCCACGCCCUAAACGAUGCACACUAGUUGUUGCGAGGCUAGACCUUGCAGUAAUGCAGUUAACACAUUAAGUGUGCCGCCUGGGGAGUACGGUCGCAAGAUUAAAACUCAAAGGAAUAGACGGGGACCCGCACAAGCGGUGGAGCAUGUGGUUUAAUUCGAAGAUACGCGAAGAACCUUACCUAGCCUUGACAUUGAUAGAAUCUGGUAGAGAUAUCGGAGUGCCAUUUCGGUGGAACUUGAAAACAGGUGCUGCACGGCUGUCGUCAGCUCGUGUCGUGAGAUGUUGGGUUAGGUCCCGCAACGAGCGCAACCCUCGUCGUUAGUUGCUAACAGUUCGGCUGAGCACUCUAGCGAGACUGCCUUCGCAAGGAGGAGGAAGGUGAGGACGACGUCAAGUCAUCAUGGCCCUUAUGGCUAGGGCUACACACGUGCUACAAUGGGGCGUACAGAGAGUUGCGAUACCGCAAGGUGGAGCCAAUCUCAUAAAGCGUCUCUCAGUUCGGAUUGUUCUCUGCAACUCGAGAACAUGAAGCUGGAAUCACUAGUAAUCGUAGAUCAGCAAUGCUACGGUGAAUACGUUCCCGGGUCUUGUACUCACCGCCCGUCACACCAUGGGAGUUGAUUUCACCCGAAAUCGGGAAGCGAACCUUCGGGGCGCUACCGCUUACGGUGGAAUUAGCGACUGGGGUGAAGUCGUAACAAGGUAACC